rnacentral:antisense_RNA from 1 species
UGUUAUGGCGGGCCGCGUAGGGAGACCUUCGGGUCUGCCGGGUUCCUUUGCCCCGGUCUUGCAGACCCUGCGCGGUUCGCCACCAUC